GUCUCUGCUGAUGUUCUCCACAGUUCUGUGCAGCCACUACAACUCGGCCCUGACCAUGGCUGUCGUUGGAGCCAUCCAGACAACUGAAUUCAACCAUUGGAAGAAUGUCCUAUUUAUCAUGCAUUUUCUUCUUUCCUGUUUUUUGGGGUUUGUUCUGUGAGUUUCUAAUGAUGGAGAAGACAACAGAUGUGUGCCACGUGUGGCUGAGAAACCACUAUGUACGGACCCUGCCUCUACUGGCUGUGUUAUCCCUGUUCUCUGUCUUCUAGAGACUUUUAGUCUCUGGUGUGUGGACAGAUGGCCCAAACUCUUUUACAUUUGAGUCUUUGGGUGAAUACUAUAAAAUAAUUCUAUAAAUGAUGUGUCCUGCAUUUAAUUAUUUCCCUUGCACGCUCUGACUAUAACACAGACUUUUGCUUCUGGAACACAAAGCAGUAUUACAGUUGAUGGAGAUGCAGCAAAGCCUGUUUUCAGUUUUCUGAACAAUAGCAGUUCCUUUGGUUGAAGCACACAGGCCACUUUAGCUGGUGAUGAAGUUUUGGAUAUGAUAUCUAACACACAGAGAAGAAAAGCAAAAACAAGUCGGACUCUGAGGAACUGAAAAGCUUCAGUAUAACAAGAAGAAAAGGGAGAAAAUACUCAUGAACUAUUAAGUGGUUAAUGUUAAAAAUAUUUCAGAGGGUGGCAGAGAUAGCUCAGGGGUGUAAGCACCUGCCUAG